rnacentral:lncRNA from 1 species
GAAGACACCUGAAAAGAUGUCUCCCGUCACAAUCUUCACGACAAGUCAUACAUGUUAGGCCAGUCUGAAGGCAAGGUGCCAAUUGUGUCAGUGGGCUGGUUUCUGCCUCUUGGCCUCAAGAUUCAUGUUCCUAAAUGAAGUAAAAAGGAUCAAGUGACCCAUGACCAUGGAAAUCAUCUCGGGCCAACCAACUUUGGCUCCAUCAGGAGACUAUAACCCACAGAAGAAUUUCUGUCACUCAUUGUUCUGUGCUGGGGCAAC